AUACGUAGGGGGCGAGCGUUGUCCGGAAUGAUUGGGCGUAAAGGGCGCGUAGGCGGCGCGGUAAGUCUGGAGUGAAAGUCCUGCUUUCAAGGGGGGAAUUGCUUUGGAUACUGCCGCGCUUGAGUGCAGGAGAGGUUAUCGGAAUUCCCGGUGUAGCGGUGAAAUGCGUAGAGAUCGGGAGGAACACCAGUGGCGAAGGCGGGUAACUGGACUGCAACUGACGCUGAGGCGCGAAAGUGUGGGGAGCAAACAGGAUUAGAUACCCUGGUAGUCCACACUGUAAACGAUGAAUGCUAGGUGUAAGAGGUAUCGACCCCUUUUGUGCCGGAGUCAACACAAUAAGCAUUCCGCCUGGGGAGUACGGCCGCAAGGUUGAAACUCAAAUGAAUUGACGGGG
rnacentral:rRNA from 1 species